rnacentral:lncRNA from 1 species
ACUCCCGUUUACAAGUCACCUCCACCACCAGAGAAGUCAUAUCAUUCUGCACUAGUAUAUAAGUCUCCACCACCUCCAACUCCAGUUUACAAAUCACCACCACCACCAGUGAAGCCAUACCAUCCUACACCAGUAUACAAGUCUCCACCACCACAAACUCUAGUUUACAAAUCACCACCACCACCAGUGAAGCCAUACCACCCUGCUCCAGUAUACAAGUCUCCACCACCACCAACUCCAGUUUACAAGUCACCACCACCAUCGGUGAAGCCAUACCACCCUUCUCCAGUAUACAAGUCUCCACCACCACCAACUCCAAUUUACAAGUCACCAUCACCGGUAAAGCCAUACCAUCCUGCACCAGUAUACAAGUCUCCACCACCACCAACUCCCAUUUACAAGUCACCUCCACCACCAGUGAAGCCAUACCAUCCUGCACCAGUAUACAAAUCUCCAC